AUUUGCAUAAUGAAUCGGAGUGAUCUAUAAAUACCUGCUGGAUUUGUGUAUUGAAGAGAUAUCUAAGACACUGAGAAAAUGAUGGGAUGAGAGUGUUUCACUCAAAGCAGCUUCCAUUUGAAAUGGAAAUCUAUUACAUCCAGCGUGUGAUGCUCUACGUUGUGCCCAUCUAUCUGCUGCGGAAAGGAGGUGUCUACACUCCAGAACCACUCUCCAGUUUCUGGUGGGCUCUUCUG